rnacentral:tRNA from 1 species
GGGUAUAUAGCUCAGUGGUAAAGUGUGUGCUUAGCACACAUGAGAUCCUGGGUUCAAUUCCCAGUACUUCCA